UUGACUUCAUAGUGAUUUUUU
ensembl:piRNA 21ur-12900 ncRNA